GGAGGGGUCGCAUAGCGGCCUAGUGCGUCUGCUUGGAGAGCAGAUAUACCGAAAGGUAUCGUGGGUUCGAAUCCCACCCCCUCCGCCU
rnacentral:tRNA from 1 species